rnacentral:miRNA from 1 species
GCAGCCCCUCCGUCUGACUCAG